rnacentral:rRNA from 1 species
CAGUCGCCGCGGUAAAACGAAGGGUGCAAGCGUUAAUCGGAAUUACUGGGCGUAAAGCGUGCGUAGGCGGUGAGUUAAGUCUGCUGUGAAAUCCCCGGGCUCAACCUGGGAACGGCAGUGGAUACUGGCUCGCUAGAGUGUGUCAGAGGAUGGUGGAAUUCCCGGUGUAGCGGUGAAAUGCGUAGAGAUCGGGAGGAACAUCAGUGGCGAAGGCGGCCAUCUGGGACAACACUGACGCUGAGGCACGAAAGCGUGGGGAGCAAACAGGAUUAGAUACCCCCGUAGUCCCUGUCUCUUAUAC